rnacentral:rRNA from 1 species
AUUGAACGCUGGCGGCAUGCUUUACACAUGCAAGUCGAACGGCAGCGGGGGCUUCGGCCUGCCGGCGAGUGGCGAACGGGUGAGUAAUGCAUCGGAACGUGCCCAUGUCGUGGGGGAUAACGUAGCGAAAGCUACGCUAAUACCGCAUACGUCCUGAGGGAGAAAGCGGGGGAUCUUAGGACCUCGCGCGAUUGGAGCGGCCGAUGUCGGAUUAGCUAGUAGGUGGGGUAAAGGCCCACCUAGGCGACGAUCCGUAGCGGGUCUGAGAGGAUGAUCCGCCACACUGGGACUGAGACACGGCCCAGACUCCUACGGGAGGCAGCAGUGGGGAAUUUUGGACAAUGGGCGCAAGCCUGAUCCAGCCAUGCCGCGUGAGUGAAGAAGGCCU